rnacentral:rRNA from 1 species
AUGUCGGCGCCGUGGUGGGAUUCCGACGACGACCGCUCUGGGGUUGAGUACCGCGCCUACGUUGGCAACCUCCCCUGGGGCACCGAUGAGAGCUCGCUCAAGGACUUCUCCGACUACCGCCCGCUCAACGCCGACAUCGUCACCGACCGGGAGACGGGCAGAUCCCGCGGCUUCGGCUUCGUCUGGUUCGACGACAAUGAGUCGCUGAGCAACGCCAUCCAGGGCAUGGACGGCCAGGAGCUCGGCGGCCGCACCAUCACCGUCGACAGGGCCAAUCAACGCCCCCGCCGCUGGAGGAGAUGA